rnacentral:rRNA from 1 species
AGCGGCGGACGGGUUAGUAACGCGUGGGAAGGACCCCUUCUCUAUGGAAUAGCCUCGGGAAACUGAGAGUAAUACAUAAUACGCCCUUCGGGGGAAAGAUUUAUCGGAGGAGGAUCAGCCCGCGUAAGAUUAGAUAGUUGGUGGGGUAAUGGCCUACCAAGUCUACGAUCUUUAGCUGGUUUUAGAGGAUGAUCAGCAACACUGGGACUGAGACACGGCCCAGACUCCUACGGGAGGCAGCAGUGGGGAAUCUUAGACAAUGGGCGCAAGCCUGAUCUAGCCAUGCCGCGUGUGUGAUGAAGGCCUUAGGGUCGUAAAGCACUUUCGCCAGGGAUGAUAAUGACAGUACCUGGUAAAGAAACCCCGGCUAACUCCGUGCCAGCAGCCGCGGUAAUACGGAGGGGGUUAGCGUUGUUCGGAAUUACUGGGCGUAAAGCGCACGUAGGCGGAUCAGAAAGUUGGGGGUGAAAUCCCAGGGCUCAACCCUGGAACUGCCUCCAAAACUCCUGGUCUUGAGUUCGAGAGAGGUGAGUGGAAUUCCGAGUGUAGAGGUGAAAUUCGUAGAUAUUCGGAGGAACACCAGUGGCGAAGGCGGCUCACUGGCUCGAUACUGACGCUGAGGUGCGAAAGUGUGGGGAGCAAACAGGAUUAGAUACCCUGGUAGUCCACCCCGA